GAUCAAAUUUUUUUUGUAAUCAGGUUUGAUCAUAUCAAUCCCAAUCUGAGUCAAACUGAAUCUAAUUCAAUUAGACUUGUUCUAAAACUUUUUACUCAAUCAAAUUGAAUCAAUUAGUAUUCUAAUUACUAAUUAUUUUUUUAUAAAUGAUAGAGUCCCAGUCUCAGUGGGACCUCCCAUAGAGUCCUAGUCCCAGUAAGACUCUUCACUAGAGUCACAAUCUAAUUGGACUCUUCAGCCAGC
rnacentral:lncRNA from 1 species